rnacentral:rRNA from 1 species
UACAGAGGUCUCAAGCGUUGUUCGGAUUCAUUGGGCGUAAAGGGUGUGUAGGUGGCGCCGUAAGUCGGGUGUGAAAUUUCGGAGCUUAACUCCGAAACUGCAUUCGAUACUGCGGUGCUUGAGGACUGGAGAGGAGACUGGAAUUCAUGGUGUAGCAGUGAAAUGCGUAGAGAUCAUGAGGAAGACCAGUGGCGAAGGCGGGUCUCUGGACAGUUCCGUGA